AUGGACCAAGUUCUUGUGCUGUUUCUACUUUCACUUCUACUUCCAACAGCUGCUCCAAAAGUCAGACUCCUCCAGAAAGCCAACCCAGAUAGUAGAGGGUCUCAAGUGUUGUGUCUAGCAACAAGAUUUUAUCCUCGUCACAUCAACCUGACCCUGUUUAGAGAUGGACAGCCUGUAUCUGAUGAUGAGAUCACUGGAGGAGAUCUGCUGCCCAAUGAUGAUGGGACGUACCAGAUGAGGAAGAUCCUGAAGAUCAGUGAAGAAGAACAGAGAGAGAAACACAAAUACACCUGCACCGCCACACAUCUCAGUCUGGACAACAAACUGGACAUCACUUUGGGAUCUGAAGAAAGUAUGGACACAACUUCAUUGAGUUCAUGUUAUGAUGUGCGUUACACGCAGCUCAGCCCCAUUGAACUUUUGCUGUGA